UCCUCGGCAACCUGUUCUUCGGUGUCUUCUCUUUAAUUUCGAUUUAUUCCCUUUUUCUUGUUUCAAUUUCGAUUCAAUCUUUGUCGACAUGUGUAACUCGUUCUUUUUGGAGAAGUUUUGUUGGUUGUUGGAUUAUGUUUAUAGCCGACAGAAGCUUGGAUUUGUGGAACUUGACUUUAGAGGCGAUGUUGUGGCCUGAAUCUCCCCUAUUUCGUCUUCUAGGGUUUUGGUUGCUCUUUGCAAUUCUUUAUGGCAACAAGGAUAGAAAAAACUGACGUCGACAAAUACGGAUCUUUUUAGUUGUGAUGGUUAUUUGGUUUGUGGGGUUUGGGAUUGUUUUAUUAUCCGCGGCGCUGAAUGGUCCAACUUUUUUUGUGGAUUUUGCCGUGAAAAAUGAGGACUUUUUUUUUUCUCUAGAUUUGCUGUCAGUCGCAGGCUUUACCUUAGGGGCAUGAACUUUGGUGUUUUAAGAUAAAACGUCUUGUUUGUGGUAUGUUAUUAUCCUUAUGAUUCGCUAAGUACUUAUGGACAUCGUUGUUAUGAGAACUUGCUGUCUCUGGUCCUGUUUUCUCCUAUCUUUGCGAGGAAAUCAUUUUGAACCUUUGGCCUGGUGAUAUCUCAUGGAUCCAAGAUGUUUCACCCAAUUAAAAUUCUGAUCAUGAAGAUAAGUGACGUUGAAUGUUUGUGAAUGCUAGCCCGAUGAUAGCUUGACAUGUCGGCAAAUUUUGUUAUCAGUCUAUGUUAAUUACUCCUUGAAGCAUCAUGGGUUGUAUGUUUCCUGUUGUCAUUGCCUUCGAUGCACAAUGACUGCUGGCUUAAUUGUCAUUUACCCACUUGUAAUGUGGAUCUCUCCGGCGUAAGGGUUUGAUGUCAUUGUUCAAGCUCAAGUAUAACCCAUAAUCAAACACCAGUAUGGUGCAUGAAAGGUCCAGUCCAAUGGUGGUUUCACUUUGUGAUGUACCUUUAGUCCUAUUCAUGAGUCUCUCUUUUCUACUUGGACCUCUCAUCAUAUCAAUACUGGUCACUCGAUGACCCUUGACCUGUUUACCUAUUAUCCUAUAACCAAUCUGUUAACUUGAUGAACCUAUUAUCCUUAACCAAUCUGUUAACUUGAUGAGCUUAUUUAAUUAUUCUCCAACUUUCAGUGUCAGACUAAACUGGAGGUGUUACACUAAUUAUAUAAAUCUAUCGUUGAAGUUUUGAAGAGCAACUAAGAAGGAAAUACUGUUUCUAGCAUUAGAAUGUGCUUAUCAAAAGAAAGAAACAUUUUAUGAAAAGUGUGAUUGUCUGGAACGACAAAACAUUUCCUUGGUGAUGUUUUUUAAGAACAAUGGUUUAGUGACUUUCAUGGUGGUGAUUCUCUUGAGAUAUACUAAAUCCGUUUUGAAUGUGACCUUUGUCAAUCCUAAUAUAGAUUGGUUCAUUGUUUACCACUUUAAUUUUUAAAAACAAAUGGGCACAACUUCUUGGGUUAAGCAUACUUUAACAAUAUCAUGAAGAUCAGGCGAACAUGCCCUUUCUCUGCCAUGAAUUUGCACCUGAUUUCAGCUUGCUCUUACAUCGUUUAUCAUUUGGGAAAUAGUUAUGAAACCGGUGAGUGGUCGUUGGGGUUAUGAAUAUAUUGGCUCAACACAGACAAUGGUAUGAUUCGAUGGUUUGCGAUAUAAAUAAUGUUUUAUUUUAUGUUUGGGAUUAAGGUAGUGACAAUCUUCUUAGCAAGUUAUUGGUAUGCCUCUCCUGAAUCUUUAUAUCUUACUAUGGUACCUACGGUAGCUAUUGGCCAGUGAAUCAUUCAUCAUAGUUUCAGAUAUCAUAAUAUAACAAUCAUACUGUAGUACGAUUUCAUUAUAGUGUACCUGCUGUACUGGUCGGUAUUGGCAUUAAUUCUAGUGACUGUUUUUUGGUGUAUCCAGGCAUAGCAUUUUGUGCUGGUCAAUAUAUAUGUUGGUCUAAUAACGCUCUGUUAUGGGUAACAUUUGCAAUAUUUGGAACUUCCUUGGCUUUUUACAGAUCUCAAUGACGGCAAAAGAUCUAAGUAGCCAACCCUAAAUAGUUGAGACUUACAACUUUGUUGUUGUUGUGGAACCUCCUUAUAUGUACUGUUGACCAUGAAGGUUAAAGCUGCUAACACAAUCUAAUUACACUGUAUAUCACCAAUUUAAAUAUCUACGGUGUCAUUUUAAAAACAGCAUUUUGUCAUGAGAGAAAGAGAGAGAGAGAGAGUUUAAUGCUUAGUUGGUCUAUUAGUGUGUUAGACUCCGGUUCGAAAUCUUUCAUAGAAAUGUGCAGAAUCUCCUGUGCUGUUUGAACUGUUUUCUUGAACAUAAUGAUUAAGAGAUCAGAUAUAUCACCAUGGGUAUGAUCAUGACCCUUCCAGAUAUUGUUAUGUUUGUGGGUGAGUUUCUUUUACCAUAUUUUGUGAUAUGUUGCCACUAAUUCCGUUGUUUGUGCAGUGUUCUUAUUCUUCAUGGUAAUUUGUUUAUCGGUUAAUUGUUCAGACUUCACUUUGAAUUCAUACUAAUUACUUUUUUGUUUCGUUCUUUCUCUAAUAGUCUUCAUUUAUUUCUUCAUUCUUAUUGUAUGUUUAAUUGAUUC